rnacentral:rRNA from 1 species
GGGCCCGCACAAGCGGUGGAGCAUGUGGUUUAAUUCGAUGAUACGCGAGGAACCUUACCAGGGCUUAAAUGUACGUUGCAUGAUUUAGAGAUAAAUCUUUCUUCGGACUACGUACAAGGUGCUGCAUGGUUGUCGUCAGCUCGUGCCGUGAGGUGUCAGGUUAAGUCCUAUAACGAGCGCAACCCCUGUCGUUAGUUGCCAGCAUUUAAAGAUGGGUACUCUAGCGAGACUGCCGGUGCAAACCGUGAGGAAGGUGGGGAUGACGUCAAAUCAUCACGGCCCUUACGUCCUGGGCUACACACGUGCUACAAUGGCCGGUACAGAGAGCAGCCACCACGCGAGUGGGAGCGAAUCUAUAAAACCGGUCUCAGUUCGGAUCGCAGUCUGCAACUCGACUGCGUGAAGCUGGAAUCGCUAGUAAUCGGAUAUC